AUUGAACGCUGGCGGCAGGCCUAACACAUGCAAGUCGAGCGGUAGAGAGAGGCUUGCUUCUCUUGAGAGCGGCGGACGGGUGAGUAAUGCCUAGGAAUCUGCCUGGUAGUGGGGGAUAACGUCCGGAAACGGACGCUAAUACCGCAUACGUCCUACGGGAGAAAGCAGGGGACCUUCGGGCCUUGCGCUAUCAGAUGAGCCUAGGUCGGAUUAGCUAGUUGGUGGGGUAAUGGCUCACCAAGGCGACGAUCCGUAACUGGUCUGAGAGGAUGAUCAGUCACACUGGAACUGAGACACGGUCCAGACUCCUACGGGAGGCAGCAGUGGGGAAUAUUGGACAAUGGGCGAAAGCCUGAUCCAGCCAUGCCGCGUGUGUGAAGAAGGUCUUCGGAUUGUAAAGCACUUUAAGUUGGGAGGAAGGGCAGUAAAUUAAUACUUUGCUGUUUUGAUUACCGACAGAAUAAGCACGAA
rnacentral:rRNA from 1 species